UACGAAGGGGACUAGCGUUGUUCGGAAUUACUGGGCGUAAAGCGCACGUAGGCGGAUUUGUAAGUCAGGGGUGAAAUCCCGGGGCUCAACCACGGAACUGCCUUUGAUACUGCAAAUCUCGAGUCCGAUAGAGGUGGGUGGAAUUCCUAGUGUAGAGGUGAAAUUCGUAGAUAUUAGGAAGAACACCGGUGGCGAAGGCGGCCCACUGGAUCGGUACUGACGCUGAGGCGCGAAAGCGUGGGGAGCAAACAGG
rnacentral:rRNA from 1 species